GUGAUCGGUUGCAGAGUACACACCACGGAAAUCUUCGUGCGCCCCUUUGAAAGGAGCGAGAGCGAGACCCCAUCUCUUUAUGGAAACUUCGGGUCACCACUUCCGAGAAAGUCCUGCUGGGCAUCUUGGCCUUUGUCGAGAGGUCUGGAAAGGGCGCCCCUAGCCAGCGUCCGCGUCUGGGUGAAAACUACAUUACCCAGAUGUCUCUGCGCUGCGCGUCUGCGGCGCUGGGCCAAUGAAGGCCGAGGAGAAGGACGCUCUCAUACUUUGCGAAACCUGUCAAGGAGGGACUUCCGGCGUUCUCCCGGCGGCGGUCAUUUUGGUGACCAUGGGUCGGUCGGCUUGAUCCGGUUAUGCAGCUCUUGGUCCGGCCCGAGGUUUCCAUGGCUUCAGAAGCACUUCAUGAGCAAUGUAUAGGUUCCAUGUAGUUGCCCAACUGGAGUUGCAGGGAGAGAUGUGGGUGCCUGACAGGGCAGGCCUGACUCCAGCCAUAGCA